GAUGAACGCUGACAGAAUGCUUAACACAUGCAAGUCAACUUGAAUUUGGGUUUUUAACUUAGGUUUGGGUGGCGGACGGGUGAGUAACGCGUAAAGAACUUGCCUCACAGCUAGGGACAACAUUUGGAAACGAAUGCUAAUACCUAAUAUUAUGAUAAUAGGGCAUCCUAUAAUUAUGAAAGCUAUAAGCGCUGUGAGAGAGCUUUGCGUCCCAUUAGCUAGUUGGAGAGGUAACGGCUCACCAAGGCGAUGAUGGGUAGCCGGCCUGAGAGGGUGAUCGGCCACAAGGGGACUGAGACACAGCCCUUACUCCUACGGGAGGCAGCAGUGGGGAAUAUUGGACAAUGGACCAAGAGUCUGAUCCAGCAAUUCUGUGUGCACGAUGAAGUUUUUCGGAAUGUAAAGUGCUUUCAGUUGGGAAGAAAGAAAUGACGGUACCAACAGAAGAAGUGACGGCUAAAUACGUG
rnacentral:rRNA from 1 species